rnacentral:rRNA from 1 species
UCAAGAGAACAAGGGCACACGGUGGAUGCCUUGGCACCAAGAGCCGAAGAAGGACGUGGGCGGCUGCGAUAAGCCCGGGGGAGGAGCUGACCAUCCUUUGAUCCCGGGAUCUCCGAAUGAGGAAACUCACCGCUGGUAAUGCGGCGGUACCCGUACCUGAAUCCAUAGGGUGCGAGGAGGCAAGCUGGGGAACUGAAACAUCUAAGUACCCAGAGGAAAGGAAAGAAACCUCGACUCCCUGAGUAGUGGCGAGCGAAAAGGGAUCAGCCCAAACCCGCACGACGCGAUAGGCGGCAGCCGUUGUCGUGUGGGGGUUGUAGGACCCGUCUUGAUCCGUCUGCCGGCGGGUCGGGAAGUUACAAAGUCGCGUGUUAGCCGAAGUGGAUGGAAAGCCACGCCACAGAAGGUAAUGGCCCUGUAGGCGAAAGCACGCGGCCUUCCUGGACGGGCACCUGAGUACGGCCGGGCACGGGAAACCCGGUCGGAAUCUGCGGGGACCACCCCGUAAGGCUAAGUACUCCUUGGUGACCGAUAGUGAACAAGUACCGUGAGGGAAAGGUGAAAAGUACCCCGGAAGGGGAGUGAAAUAGUACCUGAAACCGUGUGCUUACAAGCGGUCGGAGCGGAGCAAUCCGUGACGGCGUGCCUUUUGCAUAAUGAGCCAGCGAGUUAGUCUUCCACGGCAAGGUUAAGGAAACGGAGCCGUAGCGAAAGCGAGUCUGAAUAGGGCGAUUCAGUCGUGGGAGCUAGACCCGAAACUGAGUGAUCUACCCAUGGCCAGGUUGAAGCGGGGGUAAGACCCCGUGGAGGACCGAACCCACGUCGGUUGAAAACGGCGGGGAUGAGCUGUGGGUCGGAGUGAAAGGCUAAUCAAACUCAGAGAUAUCUGGUUCUCCCCGAAAUAUAUUUAGGUAUAGCGUCACGCGUUCAAUGUCGGUUGUAGAGCACUGUUUGGCCUAGGGGGCCUACCAGCUUACCGAAGUCAGGCAAACUCCGAAUGCCGUCAUUCCAGAGCGUGGCAGUCAGAGUGCGGGGGAUAAGCUUCGUGCUCAAAAGGGAAACAGCCCGGACCGUCGGCUAAGGUCCCUAAUUCCAUGCUAAGUGGGAAACGAUGUUCGAUUGCUGAGACAACCAGGAUGUUGGCUUAGAAGCAGCCACCAUUCAAAGAGUGCGUAACAGCUCACUGGUCAAGUGAUCGGGCGCGGACAAUGUAACGGGGCUCAAGCAUGGAACCGAAGCCACGGACUUCACGCUUGCGUGGAGUGGUAGGGGAGCGUUCCCAGGGCGGAGAAGCGGCGGCGUGAGCCUGUCGUGGAGCGCUGGGAAGUGAGAAUGCUGGCAUGAGUAACGAAAGGCGAGUGAGAAACUCGCCCGCCGAAUGCCCAAGGGUUCCUGAGUCAAGCUAAUCUGCUCAGGGUUAGUCGGGACCUAAGCCGAGGCCGACAGGCGUAGGCGAUGGACAACAGGUUGAUAUUCCUGUACCACGUCCCAACCGCUAUCACCGAUGGGGGGACGGGGUAGGCUAGGGCAACCCAGGCGUUGGUCGACCUGGGGUAACCGCGUAGGGCGGUCGGUAGGGAAAUCCGCCGGCCAUCAAGCCUGAGACGGGACGCCGAGGCCCCUUGGGGCCGAAGUGCCUGAAGCCAUGCCUCCGAGAAAAGCCUCUAGGGAGGUUGGACGUGCCCGUACCUAAACCGACACAGGUGGGCAGGUAGAGAAUACCAAGGCGAUCGGAAGAACCCUCGUUAAGGAACUCGGCAAAAUGGUCCCGUAACUUCGGGAGAAGGGACGCCCCGGUAGAGUGAAGCCCUUCGCGGGCGUAGCUCGAGGGGGCCGCAGUUAAACGGCCCAAGCGACUGUUUACCAAAAACACAGGUCUCUGCGAAGUCGUAAGACGACGUAUAGGGACUGACACCUGCCCGGUGCCGGAAGGUUAAGGGAAUGCGUCAACCGCAAGGCGAAGCGUUGAACCGAAGCCCCGGUAAACGGCGGCCGUAACUAUAACGGUCCUAAGGUAGCGAAAUUCCUUGUCGGGUAAGUUCCGACCUGCACGAAUGGAGUAACGACUUGGGCGCUGUCUCAACGAGGGAUCCGGUGAAAUUGUAGUUUCGGUGAAGAUGCCGAAUACCCGUGGUUGGACGGAAAGACCCCGUGAACCUUUACUACAGCUUGACGUUGGAGUCUGGGAUUCGUUGUCCAGGAUAGGUGGGAGGCUGUGAAGCGGGGACGCCAGUCCUCGUGGAGCCAACCUUGGGAUACCACCCUUCGUGUUCUGGGCUUCUAACCCGCUGCCGUGAUCCGGGGCGGGAACAGCGUCAGGUGGGUAGUUUGACUGGGGCGGUCGCCUCCUAAAGCGUAACGGAGGCGCGCAAAGGUUCCCUCAGCACGGUUGGAAAUCGUGCGUAGAGUGUAAAGGCAUAAGGGAGCUUGACUGCGAGACAGACAUGUCGAGCAGGCGCGAAAGCGGGCCUUAGUGAUCCGGCGGUAACUAGUGGACGUGCCGUCGGUCAACGGAUAAAAGGUACUCCGGGGAUAACAGGCUUAUCCUUCCCAAGAGUCCACAUCGACGGAAGGGUUUGGCACCUCGAUGUCGGCUCGUCGCAUCCUGGGGCUGGAG